UGGGGAAUUUUGGACAAUGGGCGCAAGCCUGAUCCAGCAAUGCCGCGUGCAGGAUGAAGGCCUUCGGGUUGUAAACUGCUUUUGUACGGAACGAAAAGCCUCUCUCUAAUACAGGGGGGUGAUGACGGUACCGUAAGAAUAAGCACCGGCUAACUACGUGCCAGCAGCCGCGGUAAUACGUAGGGUGCAAGCGUUAAUCGGAAUUACUGGGCGUAAAGCGUGCGCAGGCGGUUUUGUAAGACAGUGGUGAAAUCCCCGGGCUCAACCUGGGAACUGCCAUUGUGACUGCAAGGCUGGAGUGCGGCAGAGGGGGGAUGGAAUUCCGCGUGUAGCAGUGAAAUGCGUAGAUAUGCGGAGGAACACCGAUGGCGAAGGCAAUCCCCUGGGCCUGCACUGACGCUCAUGCACGAAAGCGUGGGGAGCAAACAGGAUUAGAUACCCUGGUAGUCCACGCCCUAAAACGAUGUCAACUGGUUGUUGGGGAUUUAUUUCUUCAGUAACGAAGCUAACGCGUGAAGUUGA
rnacentral:rRNA from 1 species